AGGUUGCCCUUCUGUGCUGGCUGCGGCAAGUGCACGUUGGUGGCUUUCAUCCAAACCCCUGUGCACCUCUGGCCUCUUGCUAGCUUCGGCUGGCUGAGGAUUUACACAAACUCGCAUGUAUUGAGGACCCUUCAUGUGCACAAGCACUAAUAUAUAUACAACUUUCAACAACGGAUCUCUUGGCUCUCGCAUCGAUGAAGAACGCAGCGAAAUGCGAUAAGUAAUGUGAAUUGCAGAAUUCAGUGAAUCAUCGAAUCUUUGAACGCACCUUGCACCCUUUGGCAUUCCGAAGGGUAUGCUCGUUUGAGUGUCAUUGUACUCUCACACUCCCAAUUGCUUUGGAUUGGGAGCGGUGGACUUGGGUGUUGCUGCUUGACUGUGGCUCACCUGAAAUAUGUUAGUGCACCUCUUGAUUGGACAUAGUACAGCGUGAUAAGUGUCUUCGCUGGCUCCUCGCAAAGAGGGUGGCCGAUCGGGAGCUCUGUUGCUUCAA
rnacentral:rRNA from 1 species